rnacentral:rRNA from 1 species
AUGGCCACCACCAGCAAGCAGGCUCUAGCUCUCGCUGCUCUCCUGAUCCUGCUCACCCGCACCCACCUCAUUGCCGCCGCAAGAGCCCCGGUCGCUGUAACCGGCAUUGGCCUUGGAGGAGGUGGCUACGGUGGAGGAGAAGGCGGUGGAAGCGCCGGUCAUGGUUACGGCUACGGUUCAGGCUAUGGAGCCGGUCAUGGCUAUGGCUAUGGCGGCAGCAUUGGUGGUGGUGGUGGUGGCGGCGGUGGGCAUGGGGGUGGCGGUGGUGGAGGUAGUGGCGACAUGGGCUCAGGGUACGGUUCUGGUUAUGGCAGUGGUUAUGGCUCCGGUUACGGUGCUGGCGGUCAAGGUGGUGGGGGAGGUGGUGGAGGAGGAGGAGGCGGUGGAUCCGGCUAUGGCAGUGGCGGUGGCUAUGGGUCUGGGUACGGAGAAGGCUAUGGGUCAGGCGGUGGCAUGAACGGUGGAGGUGGAGGGGGCGGCGGUGGAGGGGGAGGUGGUGACGGCGGCAGUGGUGGCUUUGGGCAUGGAAGCGGUGGAGGCUAUGGUUAUGGCAGUGGAGGUGGAGGUGGCUACGGUGGCGAGCAUGGCCACUGA